rnacentral:rRNA from 1 species
UACAGAGGAGCCAAGCGUUGUCCGGAUUGACUGGGCGUAAAGCGCACGCAGGCGGACGCGCGCGUGGGGUGUGAAAUCUGGCCGCUUAACGGCCAGGCGCCAUCCCAUACGGCGCGUCUGGAGUGAUGCAGAGGUCGAUGGAAUUGCCGGUGUAGUGGUGAAAUGCGUAGAGAUCGUCAGGAACACCCAGGGGGAAAGCAGGCGACUGGGCAUCUACUGACGCUGAGGUGCGAGAGCGUGGGGAGCGAACCGG